UCAAAGCCGUCUGGAGAGCCGCCACCACCGUGGCGCACCGAAGGAGCAAACCGCGCGCCAGUUGGGCGGCGCGGUGAAUCUCUCAGGUACCAAGGACAGGGGGAGCGGC
rnacentral:ncRNA from 2 species